rnacentral:tRNA from 1 species
AAAAAAUUAGUUAAACUCAUAACAUUAGCUUGUCAAGCUAAAAUUAUUAAUCUAUUAAUAUUUUUUA